UACGAAGGGUGCAAGCGUUACUCGGAAUCACUGGGCGUAAAGCGUGCGUAGGCGGUUCGUUAAGUCUGCUGUGAAAGCCCUGGGCUCAACCUGGGAACUGCAGUGGAUACUGGCGAGCUAGAGUGUGAUAGAGGAUGGUGGAAUUCCCGGUGUAGCGGUGAAAUGCGUAGAGAUCGGGAGGAACACCAGUGGCGAAGGCGGCCAUCUGGAUCAACACUGACGCUGAGGCACGAAAGCGUGGGGGAGCAAACAGG
rnacentral:rRNA from 1 species